UACUUCAUUUUCUAAAGUAUUGGUUGAC
rnacentral:piRNA from 1 species